GGUGGCUUUGGGAGCGGUUUUGGCGGAGGAAAAGGCUUUGGUAGAGGACAAGGAGGCGGCUUUGGAGGCGGCGGUGGUGGUGGAGGCGGAAGAGGGUUCGGCGGAGGUUUUGGCGGUGGUCGUGGUUUUGGUGGUCAUGGCCAUCGGUAUGGGUAGAUGUUCGACUCUCGUAAUUCAACAUUGGCGUGUGAGACUAAUAUUUCUGGAUCAUGUGACAUGUGAAAUUUUCCAACGAUAUGGAGAUACAAGAACUACUUGUGAUUUACUAUUAAAAUGUAAAUAAAUAGCGUUACGAAUCAA